UUGCACAAGAGGUUAUAAAAGCUCCCAAUAUUGAUUUCCAUUCAUCUUUGUCAGCUGAGAUUGUUUACAUUCAGUUGAUAUUAAUGGGUGGUAAAUUA